rnacentral:rRNA from 1 species
GAGCACGUAGGUGGGUUUGUAAGUCAGAUGUGAAAGCCUCCUGUUCAACGGAAGAAUUGCAUCUGAAACUGCGAGUCUUGAGUGUAGGAGGGGAGAAUGGAACUUCUGGUGGAGCGGUGAAAUGCGUAGAUAUCAGAAGGAACGCCGGCGGCGAAAGCGAUUCUCUGGCCUAUUACUGACACUCAGUGUGCGAAAGCUAGGGGAGCAAACGGGAUUAGAUACCCCGGUAGUCCUAGCUGUAAACGAUGGGCACUAAGUAGAGGGGUUUU